rnacentral:lncRNA from 1 species
CUCCAUUCCAUGCCAUUCCAUUCCAUGUGUGUACAAUUGGGACGGAGGUGGAGGGAAAAAGGGAGGAAUGUCACGAGUAUAGCUACAGGGUAAAUGGCAAGAUGCCUGGCUAAGGACUGUUUGAUGACUGGAAUGUAAAAUCAGGGGCGGAGUGGAUGCAAUUGUUUAGUUGAGUUUCCUUUUACUCAUCAAGCUGCCAAUCUGGACAAGCCCAAAGCUGAGUUCUAAAACUUGAGCAGAUUAAUUGAGGGGAAGAGGGAGGUUAGAAACAAAGUUUCUGGGAAAAGGGGGAGGAGUUCUAGGAGGAGGAAGGAAGAGGGGAGAGCCCAUUGUCAGAGCAGUGAAUAGGCUAUACCCACUUCCUGGUGGAUUCCUGGACUGGAUGUAAAGCAUGGGCUGAGCCUAGGGAAUACAUGCAGGAGGCUGGAAGUGACAUCCUGGCAGGCACACAGUUGGAACCAGGAUAAAGGGCCUCCCUGGAAAAACCUGAAACAUUUACUGAGGAGGGUUCCCAGAGCACAUGGCCAAGAGCAAUAUUGGAUUUCAUGGUUGGAAAUGGAGCAUCUUUCUUUUGUUUCUCAGUCUCAUCCCAGGUAUCUGCCACUCAGAAGUGGUGACAUCUCUGAAAGAAAGCCAGGGAAGUGAUACUGUGUUCAGUUUAGACUCAAAAAUAGGAAGUGACACCAAGAGAAUUAUGUGGAUCUCGACAUCUAAACACCUGAUCCUGGCCAACAGCUCUGCAGGGGAGAGCAGUCCAGACUGGAUCAUUAACAGCAAAGAGUAUAAGGGGAGGUUGUCUCUCCUUCCUGAUAAAUCUCUAAUGUUAAGCAAUCUGAAAACUGAAGACAGUGGAUGUUAUGAAGCUGACAUAAAAUCAUUCUUGGGAGUGAUAAUUACUCAGAAGUUCAAUUUAACGGUUUUUGAGUCUGACAAUACAGAGCCUAAAAUGAACCUACAGAAUCACUCACAUUAUUUUGCCAUAUUCAGCCUUGUUGUAUUCCUGCUAAUACCAUGUGUCUGCUACCUAAAACGACGAGGUAGUCAGAGAAGAGGUGAACUACAUACAGAGGAGAAUGGACAUUCCCAGAUGGCUUCUCCUCAGACCAAUGAAGAGAGUCUGAGGAUGCUUAAUAGAACAUCGCUAGUCACAACCAUACAAGAGGAUGUAGUAGGAAUGCGGAAUGGAGUUGGCACACAACAGGAAAACAGCAGAGAUCAGCACAGAUAAGAGUUAGGUGAUGAAGAAGGGAACAGCACAGAAUCUAUGGACCACAGGAGAACAGCACAGAUAGAAGUCUAACAACAUUGAUCAAAGAUGUGGGAUCUUGUAAAACACAUUUCAAUAUUGGUUGUUUGGUGAAAGAAAUCUCGAAUGAAAUUUAGGACCAAACAAGAAAUAGACAAUGUUGGGAAAUAAAAAAUGGAUAGUUUUGAUAAAUUAAAAAGAGGAAGAAUAGACACAGAGACAUUAUAUGAGGAAGAAGGGCUCAUGGUUCUGAAAACCUACUCACAUCAGGAAUGGUUUAAAUAGCCAACACAACAUUUAUAUCAUUUAUAUCCAUUUAUAUUUAUCAUUUACAUAUAUUCUUUAUACAUAUAUUUAUAUAUAUAAUAUAUAUUUAUAUCUAUUUAUCAUUUUUACAUAUAUAUAUGUGGAAUGGAGAGAUAAAGUGAAGAACUUACAGGAAUGCUUAAAUUAUUUUUCUGUAUUUUAUUUUUUAUUUCUGUGUUUCCCCUAUGAUCUGUAUAAUAUGUGCAGGCUCAUAUUUACUUGAGCCUUGGCCAGCUAUAAGCAUAUUUACUUAACCUGAGCUGAUGACAUUUGUUGGUAUUUGACAUUUAUCGAUAUUUAGUCUAUUAGCUUGACCACUAUCUGCUUAAUUAAGCCUAAAGGCCUCAGUUUCUGUUUCCUAGAAAUCAGGAGAUUUGGGGGAAACAGAAACCUUCCAUUCCAAUCUCUCAAAAUAGCAACAACCAAAUAUAUGUGUGUAUAUAUAUAUAUAUCACUUAUACCCCAAAAUCUAUUAAGAAAUAGACGGGGAGGAAUGAGUGGAAGAGAAAGCAAAAGGUGAGGAAAGAAAACAAGGGAGGGAUCCAUGAGUGGGGUGAGGUUAAGUAAUAGCAAGGCAAGUUAAGGAGCAGAAUUAAAGCAAAGAGUUAUCAGUAAUAGGAAAGAUGUGUGUUGUAUAUGUGUGAAAAGGGGAGCGGGUAUUUAUAUUUUUUAUAUUUAUACGUAAUUGGGGAAGUGAGGCAACAAUUGUUUGAUUGAGAAGUAAUUAAAUGUGUAAGGUAAUAAAGCAUAACUUUUUAUCACUUAUAAAUGAUUGGGGUUAUUUGAUUGAUAUAUUCAGAAUUAUAGGGGAAAUGUGUCAUUGCUACUCUUACUAUUUGAUUUUAUCAAGUUCCUUUUCUUUAAAUUGGUUGUGUAUCAGCAACAAGAUUAUGUGCUGAUCAACUAUGACAGACUUGACUCUUUUCAACAAUGAGGUAAUUUAGGGCAAUUCCAAUAGACAUGUUAGAGAGAGCCAUCACCAUCCAGAGAGAGACUGAAUAUGGAUCACAAUGUAGUAUUUUCACCUUUUUAAUUGUUGUUUGCUUGCUUGUUUUUUCUUUCUCAGUUUUUCCCUUUUGAUCUGAUUUUUUUGUGCACCAUGAUAAAUGUGGAAAUAUGUUUAAAAGAAUUGCAUUGGUUUAAUCUAUGUUGGACUACUUGCUGUCUAAAAGAAGAUGGAGGUGGGGAGGGAGGAAGAAAAAUUGGGAACACAUGGUUUUACAAGAGUAAAUUUUGAAAACUUAUUUUUGCAUGCAUUUUGAAAAAUAAAAAGCUUUUAUUAUUUUUAAUAAUAAAAUAAAUUAGUUGUAUAUUCUGGCUAUUGUGAAAAAGCAAACCUAUUGGUGACAGUUUUGGGGAUAUGGAUUUAAGCAGAUGUGAACUCACAGAAUACCUUGAAAUUGGUAAAUUCACCUUGUCUGGGAGACCAUGCAUCAGUUGGAAAGGAAUGGAGUGUUCCCAGAUACUAUAUUUGAAAAAAGCAAGAUGGAAAAGACUAGAAACUGACAUUUCCCCCAUAUAUUGCCACUAUCUUUUUAGAAAUAUAUGCAUUGCUUGCUGAUGACAUGAUGGUAUACUUAGAGAACCCCAGAGAUUCUGCUAAAAAGUUAUUAGAAAUAAUCCACAAUUUUAGCAAAGUUGCUGGUUAUAAA